rnacentral:rRNA from 1 species
CCUACGGGUGGCAGCAGUCGAGAAUUUUUCUCAAUGGGGGAAACCCUGAAGGAGCGACGCCGCGUGGAGGAUGAAGGUCUUCGGGUUGUAAACUCCUGUCAUUUGGGAACUAGUACCAGAAGAGGAAGGGACGGCUAACUCUGUGCCAGCAGCCGCGGUAAUACAGAGGUCCCAAGCGUUGUUCGGAUUCAUUGGGCGUAAAGGGUGUGUAGGUGGCGCCGUAAGUCGGGUGUGAAAUCUCGGGGCUUAACUCCGAAACUGCAUUCGAUACUGCGGUGCUUGAGGACUGGAGAGGAGACUGGAAUUCAUGGUGUAGCAGUGAAAUGCGUAGAGAUCAUGAGGAAGACCAGUGGCGAAGGCGGGUCUCUGGACAGUCCUGACACUGAGACACGAAGGCCAGGGGAGCAAACGGGAUUAGAUACCCUUGUAGUC